UUAUUAAGCUUUCCUAAAAAAUCGACGUUUCAGUCCUAUUCAAGGACUUUCAUCAGGAUUAUGUAAACCGUUUACAUAAUCCUGAUGAAAGUCCUUGAAUAGGACUGAAACGUCGAUUUUUUUUAGGAAAGCUUAAUA